rnacentral:lncRNA from 1 species
UGCCCAUCUCUUCACCUUCAACUCACUUACUCCCAACCAUUUCAUCACAACCCACGUGUUACACCUUAACCCUCAAGUUGCAAGAAUAACCAUCAACUAUUAAUUUGUAGGCUUGAGUUUCACGGAACCAUACCAAUGAAUAACUAUUUUGACAACAUCCAAACCCGGGAUGAAAGAGUUUUGUAAAUUUAGCACACAAACAUUUCAUUGAGGGGAAUGGCUAAAACCUAGUAGAACAACCACCAAACAUUUCCAUAUAUAAGAUUCAUGCAAUUGG